GCUCCUCCAUCUGCCUGCCGUGUAACCUUGGCUUUCUAAGCUGCUUCCAGGUUGGCACCUACAUGUACCCAAGGCAAAUGGAAAUGGAGCCCAAUAGCAACUGAAGAACACCACCACAUAUUUUUAUUUGAACCUCUUCACAGGAAUUGUUACCUCCCUGUGCACCAAAGACUUCCAAAGCUUUUCAGAUGUUCACCCAACAAGGCUUGACGGUCCUCUACGAACAUUUCAUGGUUCUAACCCUAGAGGCGACUUCAUCUGGUGCUAAAAUAUCUUGGCCCAAGGAGAGCAAAAUUUGAAACCCAGAAUUCGUGCCAGAAGAAUCCUCACAACUGCGAAACAAGGAAACAAGAUCAACCGUAUCCUGGAACCAAAGAAUCAGCCAAUCGAUCAGUCAAAGCCCAGCUCACUUCCUUUGCUCUUCUAUCACCGACUGAGG